rnacentral:rRNA from 1 species
UACGUAGGGGGCAAGCGUUGUCCGGAUUUAUUGGGCGUAAAGAGCGUGUAGGCGGCCAGACAGGUCCGUUGUGAAAACUCGAGGCUCAACCUCGAGACGCCGAUGGAAACCGUCUGGCUAGAGUCCGGAAGAGGAGAGUGGAAUUCCUGGUGUAGCGGUGAAAUGCGCAGAUAUCAGGAAGAACACCGGUGGCGAAGGCGGCACUCUGGGCCGGUACUGACGCUGAGGAGCGAAAGCGUGGGGAGCGAACAGG